AUGUCAAAUGCUGGUUUUAGUUCUCAGAAUGGGGCAGGAGGACAGACUUACGCAAAUGGUCCCUCACAGAACCCUUUUCCAAUGCAGCAAGUGAGCCAAGGUUACAGCAUGCCUGGCCAGCUAGGUUAUCAUAACCCAGUGCUUGCGAAGGCCCCCAUGCCUCCGGGACCUGUGCUCUACAAUGCUGUCCCUCCAGCCAGCCCAUAUCAGAGUGCCCCUGGGCCCCACAUGCCAGUCAGGCCGCCAGUGGGAGCCCCACCGCCCAUGCAGCCUGGCCAGACGAUCCCUGCUUCUCAGAACUCUGUGCCGCCCCCCACGGCAUCCACAAACAGCUACUAUCCUGAUGCCCAGAACCCCUCACCGUCCAGCUGGAACUACGGUGUGCGUCCUCCCAUGGGCAUGGGGACACCUCCACCUGGGAAUCACGUGACGUCAUCUCCCAGCCCUGUGCCCAACCCACCUUCUCAGGGGUUCAGUGCAGCCCCCACUCUCACUCCCAACACCGCAACAACCCCCGGCCCCCCACUGCCUCCAUCCUCGUACAACAGCUGGACCCAGCCAGGUAAGGAGCCAAGAAGAGCAGGCAGAUGAUGCGCCUUACUGUGUGUGUGUGUGUGUGUGUGUGUGUGUGUGUGUGUGUGUGUGUGUGUGUGUGUGUGUGUGUGCGUGUGUGCGUGCGUGUUUCCUUUUCACACAGAUUGACUGAACAUACCUGGUUGAUCUUCACUGCUUUGCCUAAAGAUCCCCCAUCUCUUUUAAAGUUAUGUGCUUUAUUUCAACUGUGUACUUGCUGAAAAGCAGGAUAGAUUACAAUCCCAAAAGAUGGGGGAAGUAUUUCAGACCAAAACAUUCUUGGAGUGCUGAAGGUAACCUAAUACCUCCUGUUCCAACUUUGGGGUCAUACGUGUGUUCAGUUGACUUCCUUUUAUCAUGAUCAUGUUUCAAUGGAAAGUAAAUCUGUGCACCCAAAGCAAUACACCCAGUUUAAAUUAAAACUACAUUAAUGAUAUCUUACUACUUAACAUCAGAGCCGGAUUAACAAUGGGGCUAAGGGGGGCUUAAGCCCCAGGGCCCGCAGCCUGGCAGAGACCUGGUUGACAGAUGAAGUAGGUCUACAUCGCUUCGGAGUAAAUGGUAGCUUGUUCAUUGUUCAUGUGAUACGGUGCGACAAGUAGCCUAGGCUACGAAUACUGGUGUUGGGUGGGCUGCUCACCCUACUGGUGUGGGGAAAAGUGACCGAUGCCAUGAAAAGAAAAUCUGAUUUAUAAGAUGACUGGUAGAAACCAAACUGCAAGUCAAAAUAGAAAAUUCUCUCAGUCUAGAAAUGAACUGGCUGAAAAAGGAGCUAUCCUACCUAAUGUCUAACUAGCUAACGUGUUGUUUCAGACAAACAAAAAUACAGAGCUGUCAAAACGUUGUCGCCAAAGCCUUCCAUCAAUCUGAAAGGAAUUAAAUGCUUGACCGAUGUCGGUAGUGUUUGGAGUAUCUAUUUAUUAGCCAAACAGACAGGCUGGCAUACUGAAAUGUGAGUUUUAAAACCAGUAACUUUAACAAUCGAAAACGCGCGAUUGUAAAAAGUAUUUGGAGUUUACGGAUGCUAUCAGCAACCAUGUGCAUCAAUCAACCCUGUGGGUAGUUCUAGGGAGAAGGGAGAUGAUGCCUAAUGACUGCAUUGACGGCACACACACACACACACACACACACACACACACACAAGGCUCUAUCCAACCCUGCAAGUAGUUCUAGGGAGAAGGGAGAUGAUGCCUAAUGACUGCAUUGACGGCUCACACACAGACACACACACACACACACACACACACACACACACACACACACGGCUCUAUCCAACCCUGCAAGUAGUUCUAGGGAGAAAGGAGAUGAUGCCUAAUGACUGCAUUGACGGCUCACACACACACAAGGCUCUAUCCAAGGGCAUGAAGGUGCUUUAGGUGUCCCCCUGUUUAGGUGACGCCCUGUAAAAUUACUUCUAACUGAGAUUGCCGUUAUCUGCCAAUAAGUUAGACGCUGAUUGCACUGAUUUGAUUGUCUCUCUCAUCUAGUUAUUAACAGUUUGUGUAGCUGAGUUGUCAUGGAAGCCUAGGCUACUGUACUAUAACGCCUGUCUGUGUUGUGUUAUCUUGGAGAUCUAAUUUGUGUUGUAUAGUCGGGUUGCCUUCACUAUGUUGAUGUGGUUUUCUGUACAUUUAACUCACAAUUAGUGUAGCUGAGCUUCCAUUGUUGAAAUGCUGUGUGUUUGUGUUCUGUUGUGUAUAGACCGGUAUGGUCAUGAUGUACCAAUUUGCAACAAUAAUGAAAUGCUACAUUUCCUAAAUAGCCUGAAACUAAUGCAUGAUUUUGAGGGAGUCCCUCUGAUUAAGUAUAGCCCCAGGUCCCUUUGUGCUCUUAAUCUAUCUGCUUGACAUCACUGAAAAUGUAAACUUAGUGGAGUAUAAGUGUACCGUCUUCGGUAAGCUCUACGCUGACAGCCAGCUAAACUCUUCCUACAAAUCACGACUCUGAAGAUAUACGUAGUCCACAGGUUUAAUGAUAGUAGAUAGGAAGUGUAAAACUGAAAUUUACAAAAGACAUAGACAAAUCAAUUCUAGCAUAAACAUAUAGUCAUUGCAUACAGUUACGAUAGGUUAAAUAAACAUAUAUUGUAUCUCA
rnacentral:lncRNA from 1 species